GGACGCGAUCAACGAUGGCCGGCGCCUCAUCUGCUGGACACUCAACAACGACGCCGCGGCAUUUAGGUUGGGUUGCGGGUGAGCGGUCCAUGGCUCCGCUGCUGUCCGUCGAAAGAGAUGAGAUGAGGUGUGCUGUUUGACCAUCAUACAAAGAGGUAAGACUUAAUGAGCUAGGUUGUUCUGUAUGUCUUGCCAAUUUAUUUAUUUUAGAAUACUAACA